UUAAAGAGUUCUAUAACUCCCAAACCCAUGUGAACAUACCUAACGUUGCCUCGGCAGGUCGCACCUACCUUGUAGCACCCUACCCUGUAGGGCCUACCCGGGAGGUGCGGGUAAGCCUGCCGGCGGCCCACCAAACUCUGUUUGAUAUUGAAUUCUGAACCUAUAACUAAAUAAGUUAAAACUUUCAACAACGGAUCUCUUGGUUCUGGCAUCGAUGAAGAACGCAGCGAAAUGCGAUAAGUAAUGUGAAUUGCAGAAUUCAGUGAAUCAUCGAAUCUUUGAACGCAUAUUGCGCCCAUUAGUAUUCUAGUGGGCAGGACCGUUCGAGCGUCAUUUCAACCCUUAAGCCUUCGUUGCUUAGUGUUGGGAGCCUACGGCAACGUAGCUCCUCAAAGUUAGUGGCGGAGUUGGUUCACACUCUAGACGUAGUAAUUUUUUAUCUCGCCUAUUAGUUGGACUAAUCCCCUGCCGUAAAACCCCCAAUCUAUAUCAAGGUUGACCUCGAAUCGGUUCAGACAAACUCGCUAAAUUGAAGCAUCUUAGUCAGCGAAGGAAAAGAAACCAACAGGGAUUGCCCUAGUAACGGCGAGUGAAGCG
rnacentral:rRNA from 1 species